AUUACACCUAAAAUCGACGUAUCAACCAGACAACAAUGAGUGAUUGAUUUACAUCAAGCAUCAACAUUCAACGCAUCAAAAAGCAGUAGGCACCAACUCCCAAUCUCUCACACAACACCAGAAAUCUCAAUAAUCCAGCAACAAUGGCGGAUCUUCCCAAUCCUUCAUCUUCCGAUUCCACUGAAUUCCACCAUCCUCAUAACCAAUCUUUGAUUCCAAUUCUCUCUAACGAUGUAGCAUUACAAUGCCUAGCUCGAAUCCCCCGUGUUCACCACCCUUUUCUCUCUCUUGUGUGCAAAUCAUGGCGUUCUACUCUCUAUUCUCCUCUUUUCCACGCUACUCGUUGUCAACUCAACACUGUUCAAUCAUUUCUCUUCUUCAAUGUCCGCCUCUUUAACCCUAAAGAUUCCACCUUUUCUUUCAAAUGGUACUCUCUUGACCCUUCUACAGUUUUUUCAACAAAUACCUACAAAUCAAGAACCCUAAUCCCAAUUAGCCCCUCUCCAUUUCAACCGAUUGGAGCUUGUUUUGUUUCAUUGGGUCGUUUUUUGUAUGUAAUUGGUGGGUCAAUUCACGAUAUUCCCUCUCCUAAUAUGUGGGUUUUUGAUUGUUUGACUAAUAAAUGGGAAAUGGGUCCGAGAAUGAGGGUUGGGAGGGAAUUCGCAGCAUCUGGGGUGAUGAAUGGGAUGAUUUAUGUUGUGGGUGGUUGUGUUGUGGAUAAUUGGGCAAGGUCUAUGAAUUGGGCUGAGGUUUUUGACCCGGUUAGUCGAUCAUGGGCCGCGGUUCCAUGCCAGAUUGAGAUUAAGGAGAAGUGGAUGCAUGCAAGUGCUGUUAUAGAAGGGAGGAUGUAUGCAAUGGCCGAUAGGGGUGGGGUUGUUUUCGAACCGGGGGCGGGAGAGUGGGGUAUGGUGUCUACUGAGCUUGAUAUGGGAUGGAGGGGACGGGCCGCGGUGGUAGAUGGUGUGUUGUAUUGCUAUGAUUAUUUGGGGAAAAUAAAAGGGUUUGAUGUUGGAGAGAAUAAGUGGAAAGAGUUGAAAGGAGUUGAUAAGAAUUUGCCCAAGUUUUUGUGUGGUGCUACAAUGGCUAAUGUGGGUGGAAAGUUAUUUGUUGUGUGGGAAGGGAAUGGGAAUGGAAAGGGAAAAGAGAAUGAGAAGGAAAUGGAGGUGUUUUGUGCCGAGAUUUCGGUUUCGAAGGAUGAUUGUGGUGAUUUGUGGGGAUUGAUUGUGUGGUCUGAUGUGAUAAUUACAGUUCCUAAGGGUUCUUCUGUUGUGCAUUGUUUGGAAGUUCGUUUGUGAGUUCCUGUUGGAGUAACUUCAGUAUUUCUGGAUGUGCAAAAACAUGAACCUAAUUUCUAAAGCAACAAUUUGAUAUUGGGUCAUUUAACAUGAGGGCAAUGUUGUGUACAUUCAAUCCUACUGAAUCCUGCGUGAAUAAGCCCAAGUAGCUGUAACAUCAAGGGAAGGGCUGUAUAGAAUAAUUGACACAGGCUCAAAUGGGAAUUGAUCUUCUGAAUCUUGAGACCGUUGACGCCAAAUGGUUCCCGUUGGAGCCUGACAACCUUCACCUUACUACAGCAGCACAAGUCGAACUAGCUAGGAGAGAAAUUGGCGCAUGCUUUUUUGCCGAUCCUCCAUGGAACCAGUACAAAGUAAUGCAAGCAGUUUGAUUGUACAAAAUAAUACAGCCUCAAUUUUACACAGGAAUUGGUUUUACACUGCUCUUAUUUCUGUACUUCCGUUUUUCUUUGAUUCCCUUAGCAGCACAUAAAACUCAGCUGUUGCAUUUUUACGUAUAUUUAGAUUGUGAGAACAGUAUAUUACCCAAAAAACGAUAUUGAAGGUGCAUAUCUACAUGAAAUACGACAUUAAUACAAUGCUUGCGGAAGAUAUCAAUGGGCUGGUUAUUGAGUUCUUCGGGGUUUACUGAGGUGAUAGGUCACGAUAAAUAUUUAGGCCUCCCCACCGUGUUUGCUAGGUCUAGUAAGUCUUCUUUUGAUGGGAUUUGGGAUCAUAUUUUGAGAAAACUGAAGGGAUAGAAGGAAAAGUUGCAUUAUCGUCAAAGCAACUAUAGAGACUCCACUGUUUUCCUGUUUCUUGUGACUCGAUUACUUAAAGCCGGAUACUACCCAUGUACGUCGUUGUGGGAUACUAAUGGAGGGUUCAAUCCAAGCUAUUCAUGGAAAAGCAUUUGGGAUCCUACGAACAUGUUGGAGCGUGGGGCUAGAUGGAGAAUUGGUGAUGCUUGGUUCGGAGGCAAGGAAACAUGCAAAAUCUUGAAUUCUCAUAGAAUACUUAACAAGGAGGCUACGAUGAGUUCCUGAGGGUUCCUAACGGUAAACAUCUUCAUGAUGAGUGCAUAUGAGCCGCUAGUAAUGAUGGUUUGUUCAAAGUUAAAGACACUUACGAACUGGCCAUCAGUGACAAUGAGUAUGCAUCCAGGUCGAGGGUGAUGAACUGAUAUGUUGUGGAAACUUUUGGUUUCCCCAAGAUUAAAUGUUUUCCUUAGAGACCUCUUUCAAACAUCACCCCCACAUGAGUAACUUGAAAAAGAGAGGGAUCGAAACAAAAACCGACCUUCAUACAUUGAGAGAUUACUUCUGGGCUCGCAAAUUUUGGGAACUUGAAGGCUUAAAAUUCAUAAAAGUGGCAGCGCCAUUUUUCAAAUUUUGGUGACAGAAGUUGUUUAGGAGGAAAAGCUAAAUUUGCAUCAAAAGGGCCAUAGACCAGCUUAAAGGUUUUCGCAAGGUUAAUGGCAGCUGCAAUGACAAUAAGAGAAGAGAGGUGACAUCAUGGAUUGCACCUAAUGAAGGUACGGUUAAGCUAAACUUUGAUGCUUCUGUCCCCAAAGGAGGAAAAGAUGGUUUACGAGUGGUGGCUCGCAACCGGAAAGGUGAAGUCCUCAUGACUGCUUCAAGAACUCAAUUGUUCGAUGAUGGCCGGGAAAUUAUGGUAGCUAGAGCUGCUGUGUAGGCUUGUGAUCCGGCUCGUGAAAUGUACUGGGAAGAGGUGCUUGUCGAUGGAGCUUCACAAACUAUAGAAGUUAUCAUGUCCAAGUUUAUAUUAGAGAAUAUUUUAUAUUACUUCGUUAAUACUACUCUCGGAUUCAUUUUGCAUUAAUUGUCAUUUUAUUUUAUUCCUCUUAUUUUACAUCAUUUAUAUUCUUUGACAAUGAUCUACCACUUUCUUUUAAUCUCAUCUUUAACUUUUAUUUUGAUUUCAU